UGUAGUUAAGUUAUUAUUAUGCUUAAGAUUUAAAUCUGCCUCAAAUUAGAAGAAUUGGCGUAAUUUAUACGUAAGGAUUUUAGCGGAGUUUGGUAACCCGACCUGUCUCCUGCGAAGCUUUCAUGUGUUCUAGUUUAAACCACUCAUCAUAAUAUGGGCCAAGAACUUGUUUUCUUAUUGUUGAAGUAGACCCCGGCUUAAGUAGGCCCCUGAAAUUGCUAAUGUCCAUGAACGAUGGUGACUAAUUUCAUCAAGUGGGACGUAUGCUCGUCUGCCCAGAAUGGCAAUUUGAGGGCAGUAUACAUUUUGAAGUCUGGUAAUUUUAGAUAAUACACAUAAAUUUCAGAUUAUUGAAAAUUUAUUUCAUUGUAAGUUACAAAUUUUAUUUCACCACUUAAUUACGUUACUACGUUGCAUUCUAGAAAUUUUCAAAUUGUCAUUUGUAUACAUAACCUACCUGGCAGUGAUAAUAAGUAGCGAUGCCUAUUUUAUUUGGUCAUAAACUUAUAGAUAAUUAAUAAAACCCUGGCUUUGGAAAUUCAUUUUGUGCGAGUAUCGGCUGAAGGAUGCUGAAAAGUGAAAGAGAUUGCAUGCAUGCGGGUUGGUUGUGAUGUUGGUGGCGAUGCAGGUUGUGGCGGUGGGCGCGCGGGAGGCUGGUCGGAACUGGUCCGGCGCACGCGCGGGGCAUAGUCUCGCGGUCGGCCGGCAGCGACGCGCCAUCGUCCACGGCUCGCCACUCAGUGCACGCGCUGCCUCGCCGACGCCCGCGCUAGCUUGCAUGGCCGACCGUGUGCCCAUCUCCACGCACCGACCCCGACAGAUCGGAACGACAUCGCAUAUACACUGACUGGCAUCCCUCAAACGAUUCCGUUUUCCCGACCGAAGUCAAACUCGAUGGUUCCUAAAUUUCGUAAACAUUCCAUGCACGUGAGUUUCGCUAUAUCCUUCUCUGUUUACAUUUUUUAAAGGUGCUAUUUUUUUUAUUAUUAUUUUUUGUUUGUUUGUAAAACUUAAGUUCUUCGUUGUGCAUCGCGAGUGUAGUUGAUAAUUUGACCGGCAUUGGAGAUCUACGAUCUGAAUUUAAAGGUGUUGCGCUCGUGUGGCGUGGCGCGAGGGUGUGAUGCAAGGGAGGCGGAGCAGCGGGUGCCGGCGCCGCGAGUAGACGCGAACAUGCGGGCACCGUGCCGCACCGCAUACGCCGCAUGUCUCCUACUGCUCGCCGGAAUCAUCUCCAACAGCCCUGUAGACGCUUCUUCCGCUGUUAUUAAAGGGGUCCGCAUUCCGUGUUCGAACGAGGGCGAGCCCGUCCGGUUGCAAGACACGAGACUAGAACAAGAUUGGAGCAGUUGUUUCCGCUGCAUUUGUAAGAACGGUUUCGUGGACUGUCGGAGUGGAGCUGAAGAGUGUGGGCAGAUGGAUGACUGCGCGGUCGUUAUGCCUCGCGAGGGUUGCUGCACUAAAUGCAAAGGGUGCUGGUAUAAUGGUACCGAGCACGCGUCACACACCGAGUGGAACGAUGAUGGGAAAGUGUUCAGAUGCGAAGCCGGCGUCAUCACGAUAUCCCGGCCGGAAUGUUACGCGCCUUGUGAUCGACCGAAGCAACAGAGGCACACUCAUAACAAUUGCCCUGUCUGUGAUGAGUGCGUGAUUAAUGGUCAGCGUGUUUGGGAAGGUCGGGAUGUUCGUAUUCCGGAGGAGCCGUGUCUGUCGUGUCGGUGUCUGCACGGAUCUCUCUCUUGUGUGAAGCGUGCUUGUCCUGUUCUUCCUUGUGCCCGCUCUCAACAGCAUAUGCCUCUAGGCGAAUGCUGUCCGCGGUGCUUACACCCUAAUUCUGAUAAACUAUUACCAAAUCCCGGUAAUGUACCUUGGAAGCCGUGCAUUAUAGGCAAAGAAUUCCACGCACACCUCCGCCCGUUCCGGGUCGAUCCGUGUACCGACUGCACGUGUAUGAAUGGUACGGCUGUUUGCUCACGGCACACGUGUCCCGUGCUGACGUGCGCGAAAGCCUUACCGCCCGCGCCGGGAAAGUGCUGUCCGGAAUGCCCGCAGAUCGAAGAGGCUAAAACCGCUUGCGUUAUCGGCGGGAAAAUUUACCAGGAUGGCGAUACAUGGCAGUUAGAUGCCUGCAAGUCGUGUGAAUGUCAUAGCGGGGAACCAAGAUGCGCGAUGGAAAGGUGUCCAACCUUGACUUGUCCUCCAGAUCAAACGCUUCGACAAAUGCCAGGGCAGUGCUGUCCGAAGUGUGUCGAUAUGGACGGAAUUUGCACGGUCUUCGGCGAUCCCCACUACAAGACUUUCGAUGGAAAGUUUUAUAGUUUUCAAGGAUCCUGCAAAUAUCAGCUCGCAUCUGAUUGUGUGAAUGGCACUUUUUCUAUAAGAAUUUCUAAUGACGCCAGAAAUACGUCGCAUUCGUCUUGGACCCGAACGGCGACUCUGCGGAUCGGUCCAACCAAAAUCAAUAUGGGGAAAAAGAUGCGUAUCAAAGUAAACGGACGAAGAGUCACCCUGCCUCACAAGAUCAAUGGGGUCGCGGAAAUCGCGAAAAGCAACGGUUCGGUUCUAUUGAAAUCCGAAAUCGGGGUGCAGCUACUGUGGGACGGCGACGGAUUCUUGGAAGUGACUGUGUCUAGUGCGUACAAAGGAAAACUGUGCGGUUUAUGUGGUAACUUUAAUUCGGUAGCGAGAGACGAUAUGAGGACUCGUGACGGGAAACACUUGAAUGACACUUGGAAGUUCGGUUCGUCGUGGCGAGUGGGAGGGACGCGAGCUUGCACUCGUCGACAGAAGCAACGUAUGAACGUGCCUCUUAGACAGUCGAAAAUCGUGAAGGCUCGAAGGCUUUGCCGUGGCUUCGUUCGCUACGAAUCGUUCAUGGAGUGCACGACUAAAGUGAAUCCGCACCACUAUCAAGAAGCCUGCGAACUCGACGCUCGCAGUUGUUCGGGUACCCGCUGCCAUUGUGCGGCAUACAGAGCCUACGCGCGGGAGUGUACGAGGUUCGGUGCUGAGCCUAAAAAUUGGACGCACACAGCUUGGUGCGAAGGGGCCGCUCCUCCGUGGCUUAGUCGGAACCGCAAGAAUCGCGGUCCCAAAACGAAGGGAACUAAUCUGAUGGAUCUCGGUAAUAUACCCAAGUUCACGAACAAGAAAGUCCGGCCGCCGCCGCCUAUAUUGCAUUUAUAAUUCGCAUGCGGAGACAAUUGUUACUAGUCAAUCCAACCAGUAUGACGGAUCACGAGUAUUAAAAGAAUUCGCAACUGGACCGCACGUGGGCUGCGUCCUAUACGUCAGUCAGCUAUAUAUGGAACGAAGAUCUAUCUACUCGAGCAGUAUUCAUUAAACUACUUUUAGGUUAUAAAAGAACGUAAUUUAGUUCUAAGAGAUAAUAAACGUAUUUCUUCACGUGUUAUAAUCGGCUGGGAUAAAAAAUCAGGUACCGUAGAUUGGGGGGAAUCGGCACCCUUCCCGAAUUCAACACAAGUUUUCAAUGGUUUUUCUUAGGGUAAUACCAAUAAAAUUGAGAUUAAUAUGAUUCCGGAGGCUUAAAUUUUUAUAUACGAUGCAUUAUUAUACAGAGUUCAUUACAAAAUAUACACAAAAACUGAGAAAACUAGCUUGACCCGAUUCACCUUGGCUUUGGAGUGAAUCAAGCUACGUAUGUUAGUUUUUCGAUAGGGCUGGCACUAUUUAGUUGUGAGGUAAGUACCUAACUUUAGUUAAUGAACUUUUUAAUAUUUUUGAUGAGUUAAAAAACUUUGUAAUAUUCUUAAACACUAAAUAAAAGUCAUUUUCAAUUCAUCAAAGUUAAAUCUAACAACUCAACAAAAGUAUCAUGGCAUCCCAGAUUUGUCCCUAUUCUAACUCUAGUCUCUAUUCCCCUCAAUUUACUGUACUUUCACGUUAGAAUGAUUUGUUUUCUGUUAUAGCCAACUUAGCUCCACAUUAUUAGCUUAUUCUUAACCAGUGGAAUUUUAGUUCGUUGAUAAAUAUGCGUGUUAUCCGAAAUCAAAGUUUUACAUUUAUGAAAGAAAUGUAGUUUAAAAUUUUAUUUCUGUCAGCUGGUUGUAACUGUGAUAGGAAUAUCGCUUUAUUCACGUAAGGAAUUUUAAUUAAUAAUUUAUUACGCUGUAAUGCAAAAUGUAAAAAAAAUGUGAUAAUUAGCUUUGAAUAAUAUAAUUUCAGGCAAGAGAUGGACGUUCUGUAAAACAUAGUUCAAAUUGAGAUCUCAUUUGUAGCUCUUAACGAAAAAAAAUAAAUUAGAUAAAACCUAGCUAUCUGAAGCCAAGAAGCUAAUGAAAUUAUGUGAAACUAAAUGUAAAUAGGAAAAAAAAGGUUUUCUCUGCCAAACUUUCAGAAUAGAGCUGGCAAUAUUUGGCAUGUUAUUAUAAAGCGGAAUGAUCUAGGUCCCAGUUCUAACUGAAAAUUGGUUCUAUCGAACACACUUCCAAUUUAAAUGUACUUGCGACUAAAAUAUAAUUACCUAGUUAUAACAUUAUAAUUAAAGACUCAUGGGAAACCUUAGUUUUUAGACGCGUUACCAAUGAAUAUGACUUUGAAAAGAGUAAAGUUAAGAACGUUAUUUAUUUAAAGUGCGAGUCCGUGGUACGACGACAUCUAUAAGUACUGCUUAACUAAAUAAGUACCAUCAAAAUGUUCAAACUCAGUUGUCUAAUUUUGAAAGCAUCAGGCGUACGCGCUUCACUAUUUAUUCGAUAAUAGCUUACUGAAAUUAAACAAAUAAACGAUGCUAUGUAUCCCAGGGCUGUCUGUGUACUUUUCACUAGCACGAAAUUAUAAGGGUCCGGACACAUCUUCACGUCAAGAUACAGUUUUUUUAGACGUUUUUGAAUCAGUGAUGCGAUAGUUAAUUUGUUACUAAGCAUCACACGACAGUGUCGAGGUGAUGUGAUCGGGGCCUAAGUAAUUCUUUCACGUGAUGGUACAACACAAUAUAAUGCUUCAACAAAGUUUAGGUUUCCGUGCGCCAUUGCGCUGCGAUAUAACCGCAGCCUGAAGUUCCAAGAUAAAUUUAGAACUUCAUGACAUUUUAUAUUCUAAUUAUAUUUUCCUAAAUUUAAUGUAGCCUUUAUAAUUAUUAACAUAUUUAUCGACAGUGUGUACAAUUCGCCAAUGUUUUUUUUUUUUGUUUAAAUAAGAUACUAAUUAUUUCAAUUGUAUUUAUUACCUGAUAAAGUUUUAAGCCGCAUUCCAUGAAAAAUAGCGUUCGUAUAUUAUAUUAUUAAUUUGUUUCUAUUUUUGGAUAAGUUAAAAAUAUUUUUACUUUUUAUUAUAGUAUUAUAUUUUUGUGUACCUAAAUGUAUAUUUUCUUCAUGUUACUAUGGAAAGCCUACGUUUUAUGCAGGCUUUUAAGUGAGUCUAGUUUCGGUCAUUUUAUCUACUUAACUCGUUUUAAGCGUUAUACGCUUGAAGGUUAUAAUUUAAAACGCAUUUUUCAUAUUGUUUGUUUUAAAUUUGCGCACUAUUUUUUGGGAGAUUUUAUGAGAGAAUCGAAAUCUUUUCAGAAUCUUUUCGAACAUUUCAAUUUCAAUGUUCGAAAUUUAUUUACGUAGUGCAUCAUGAAACAGCCAUAUAAAACUGCGAUAAUAACGAGUCGGAUGUGUCAUAUUGUAAUGUUAGUUUUAAUUGAUGAUCGAAGUCUAAAAGUAAAGUACAUCUAGCUUUAUGUGUAACAAUAAACAAUGCAAAAAAUCCGAUGUUUGCGACGUGGAUGAAUAAAAAAUUAUUUAAAGAACAAAGAAUUACGUAAUAAAUAAUUAUUAUUUAAAGUUUGUUUUUAUUCGCGGGAUGAUUUAGGUCCGUGGAUUUUAUACCGGUCGUUUGGUACAGCGUCGUGACUAACCGAUGGCCGAGUGCCAAAUUUUCUAAAAUUUCAUGUCAUCAAAAUUAUCUAGGACAAUUUGGCGUCCGCUUUAAAAACAGAGAAGUCAUUAUAUUUAUCUCGAACAGAAAUCUUAAGAAACGAAAAUUAUAUCUCGACACGAAUAUUAUUUUGAGAAUUACGUUAUACUUACGACGCCGUCUCAAUUCUAAAUCUGUUCGCUUUCUAACCGAUUACAACUGAAUCAAUGCAAAACAUAGACAGUAGAAUAAAAGAUUUAUUAAUCAGUAGAUAAUAUAAAAUAUAACUCAACCACACCCGAUCAAUUAAGAACAAUUAAUUACAGUUUGUACAAUACAUACAUAAUACUUGAAAAAUUAGCCGAUAGAUAUUGUUUUGUAGCUGCAAACUGAUGUCCAAUGCUCCCAGAUUAGAAGGGUUGAAUUAGCCAACGCGUAGAGAUAACUUAACUUAGAUCAUAAUAAAUAAAUAGAAAUGAAAUAGAUGUUUAUUCCCCUGUCAUCAUCUCCAUGAACUC